GCAGCGGCGGCGUCACAACGGCGUUGGGGCCGCGGCGCCUGCGUGGUGCCGGGUGAGGGGCUGGGCGCCAUCUUGAGCCAGUAACAGUGGGAUGCACACCAGCUCUUGGUGUUGCCUGGCUCCUUCCCGCUACAGUGCAGCUACAGCGGUGCCACGAACAUGGUGUCAGGCUCCAGGAUCGCUUGUUCAGGUAGCAACGGCAGGAGCAGUGCUCGGGGACAGCUGCAAAGCCUGUCUGAGAAGCAGGGCAUGUGAAAGCACUGGCUGCAAUCCAAGCUCCAUGCCACUGUGGCAAGACGUAAACUCACUGCUGAGACAUUAAGCUAAAAGUAUCGCUGUUGAUACAGGGUAGGGAAUGUCUCCAUCUUCCUUUCUGUAAUUCCUGUUGAGGCAAACUGUUGCCUCUCUGGUUUCCAAUCUAUCUAUUUGCAUUUCCCAUGCAAAACUAUGUACAACAAUUUUAUCCAACUCGUAAAUCAGUGGUGUGUUGCCCUUACCAUUUUGCACUGAGCAAAAGGAGAAGAAAUAAAGGAAGGGUAA